UGUGACCCUGCAUCCUGAUAAGGGAAUGGAUCCGAAGCUUACAUAUGGUUAACAUAGGCUCUCCAUCCCCUACUCCUACCCAACGCAUCCUCGUGGUACAGAACGGUAACAUGUCCCUCAAUUAUCCAAGCUUAGGUACACUAUAUAACCUAACCCAUUGGGAGGAUGGGGUACAUGGCAAAAUUGAGAUGA
rnacentral:ribozyme from 1 species